CUACUUGGUGACUCUGAACUCAUCUCUUAUAUUCUUGCUGGAUUACCUACCGAAUAUGAUCCUCUUAUUACUUCUAUCAACACUCGCUUGAGCCUAUGCCGCUUGAUGAACUUUAUGGCCAUUUGAUCACACAUGAAC